rnacentral:rRNA from 1 species
UACGGAGGGGGCUAGCGUUGUUCGGAAUUACUGGGCGUAAAGCGCGCGUAGGCGGAUGUUCAAGUCGGGGGUGAAAUCCCGGGGCUCAACCCCGGAACUGCCUCCGAUACUGGACGUCUGGAGGACGGAAGAGGCGAGUGGAAUGCCGAGUGUAGAGGUGAAAUUCGUAGAUAUUCGGCGGAACACCCGUGGCGAAGGCGGCUCGCUGGUCCGUUUCUGACGCUGAGGCGCGAAAGCGUGGGGAGCAAACAGG